GAUGAACGCUGGCGGCGUGCCUAAUACAUGCAAGUCGAGCGAACGGACGAGAAGCUUGCUUCUCUGAUGUUAGCGGCGGACGGGUGAGUAACACGUGGAUAACCUACCUAUAAGACUGGGAUAACUUCGGGAAACCGGAGCUAAUACCGGAUAAUAUUUUGAACCGCAUGGUUAAAAAGUGAAAGACGGUCUUGCUGUCACUUAUAGAUGGAUCCGCGCUGCAUUAGCUAGUUGGUAAGGUAACGGCUUACCAAGGCAACGAUGCAUAGCCGACCUGAGAGGGUGAUCGGCCACACUGGAACUGGGACACGGUCCAGGCUCCUACGGGAGGCAGCAGUAGGGAAUCUUCCGCAGUGGGCGAAAGCCUGACGGAGCAACGCCGCGUGAGUGAUGAAGGUCUUCGGAUCGUAAAACUCUGUUAUUAGGGAAGAACAUAUGUGUAAGUAACUGUGCACAUCUUGACGGUACCUAAUCAGAAGGCCACGGCUAACUACGUG
rnacentral:rRNA from 1 species